rnacentral:rRNA from 1 species
GUGGGGAAUCUUGCGCAAUGGGCGAAAGCCUGACGCAGCCAUGCCGCGUGAAUGAUGAAGGUCUUAGGAUUGUAAAUUUCUUUCACCGGGGACGAUAAUGACGGUACCCGGAGAAGAAGCCCCGGCUAACUUCGUGCCAGCAGCCGCGGUAAUACGAAGGGGGCUAGCGUUGCUCGGAAUUACUGGGCGUAAAGGGCGCGUAGGCGGACAGUUUAGUCAGAGGUGAAAGCCCAGGGCUCAACCUUGGAAUUGCCUUUGAUACUGGCUGUCUUGAGUACGGGAGAGGUGAGUGGAACUCCGAGUGUAGAGGUGAAAUUCGUAGAUAUUCGGAAGAACACCAGUGGCGAAGGCGACUCACUGGCCCGUUACUGACGCUGAGGCGCGAAAGCGUGGGGAGCAAACAGGAUUAGAUACCCGUGUAGUCC